GAAGUACAGCUUAGCUUUGUUACUCCAUCGCCACUGCCAUCUGUAACCUUCCUCUACAGCUGCCGUGGCCUCCACCAUCGCGGCGGCCGCUUGGCCCCCUUCGAAGCGUCCGAGAUCUUCGGUGCACGCCUCUCACCGUGGCCUCAUCGCGGCGGCCGCACUGGUCUCCUUCGGAGCGUCCGAGAUCCUCCGUGCACGCCUAUCACCACCGGUCGCUCGGCCUUUGCGAUUUUAGUUCGUCAUUUUUCUCUAAGAUCCGCCCAGAUAAAGCAAGCUGCUGUUUCUCCCCCAUGAGGAGCUCAUGAAGUAGUCUGCUUUGGCUAUGAUCCUUUCGGGAUGAGCAAGAAGCCAGAAGAUUUCGCCAAGUAUGUGUGCCAGAUUAACCAAGUCAUCUUCCUCCACUCGCAUUCCUACAAAAUCUUUGGUGUUGAUUCCUUUUCGCUGCUGUGCCUUCCAAUUUCAAACAACGGUACAGAUACAAAGUCUAUGAGCUCAUCCAUGCAAAGGUGGGCAAUGCUUAUUUCGGUGCAAAUUUGCACCACAAUUAGUAUUAUGGUGCAAAUUGUGGUCCUGAGGCUGUCUGGUUCAAGAUGGUGCUCUUCUCCUAGAUGGAAUUACAUCGAAUUAUUUUGGAAGUAACAUUCCAAUCAAUCUUGUGGUUGCUGUCAUUGCUGAGAUCGUGCUGGUUGGAGGUGCUGAAUACUAUAGAAUUAUCAAUGGACUGGUAAGGAAGACCUCAACAUCGAAAUCAGUCAUUUACUUUGUGUUCUGUUAAAUUAGAUGAUACCAGACUGCUCAUAUUAGAAGGAUUUGGAGGACAAGCUCAACCCUGGAGGUCCAUUUGAUCCUCUGGGGCUGGCAAACGAAGCUGCACUGCUCAAGGUGAAGGAGAUUAAGAGCAGGCGGCUAGCGAUGCUCGCAAUGCUUGGUCUCUUCCUGCAGGCCUAUUCCACUGGGAAAGUGCCAGUGGAGAACCUGAUGACACAUCCGAGUGAACCAUUCAGAAACAAUUUGCUCACUGUAAUUUCCCAGCUGCUUUUUCUUCCAUGAUUUCUAUGCCAUGUAAAACGAUGAAAUCACUCGAGGCAAUGCAAAAUGUCACUGUAAGCUUCUGUACGAAACCUCGUGUACAGUUCUUUAGAAACAAGUGUAGUGAUGAUGAUUUUUC